GAUGAACGCUGGCGGCGUGCUUAACACAUGCAAGUCGAACGAUGAAGCCCAGCUUGCUGGGUGGAUUAGUGGCGAACGGGCGAGUAACACGUGAGUAACCUGCCCUUAACUCUGGGAUAAGCCUGGGAAACUGGGUCUAAUACCGGAUAGGAGCGUCCACCGCAUGGUGGGUGUUGGAAAGAUUUAUCGGUUUUGGAUGGACUCGCGGCCUAUCAGCUUGUUGGUGAGGUAAUGGCUCACCAAGGCGACGACGGGUAGCCGGCCUGAGAGGGUGACCGGCCACACUGGGACUGAGACACGGCCCAGACUCCUACGGGAGGCAGCAGUGGGGAAUAUUGCACAAUGGGCGCAAGCCUGAUGCAGCGACGCCGCGUGAGGGAUGACGGCCUUCGGGUUGUAAACCUCUUUCAGUAGGGAAGAAGCGAAAGUGACGGUACCUGCAGAAGAAGCACCGGCUAACUACGUG
rnacentral:rRNA from 1 species